AAGCAGUUCCCUCAACUGUGUCCAACCCCCGGGUCUCUGUGACUGCCUGCACAAGAGUGUGUAUGCAUCCUCGCGUGCGUCUACUGUGCGCCUACAGAUGUGGCCCAGGAGGGGCACACAAAGUCGGGUUCUUAGAUCCCAGACGCAGAACUCGGCCCGGCUGCAGAUGGAUUUGGGUGAUUCCACCUUCCAAGGGGCAAGAAUCUGAUGCUCCUGGAGCUUUGGUUUCCUGUCCAUUACAUGAGACCUCACCAACUGCAUCGUCCACAGCUCCUGGCCUGCAUCACCAGGCUUGCCCUCACCGCCGUUGCUCAGGUGGCCUUCCUAAGGCUGGAGGCACCAGUGGUCCCCACUGUCUACAGGAUGAAGUUCUUGGCGGUCUCUGCGUCUCUCUGUUCCCACUCCCCCAUCAGACAACUCGUGGGCAUUUGCUGAGGCUCCAGGAUGUUCACACCUCCGUGCCUGUGCCAGGCUGUUCCCACUGCCCCAAACACCCUUCUCCUGACACUCUGGCAAGUCCUUCCCUACCUCUCAAGACAUAGCUUACCUGUGAUCCCAGCUCUGAAAAUCUUUUCUGAAGCCCCCUCUUAACCCCCUCCACACCCAGAGACUUGAGAGCAGAUGUUCGCAGAGUGCCUGCCGCUCCCAGUCCAUGGCAACUAGACCCUCAGUGAGCAGGGCGGCCCACGGUAGGUGCCCAGUGAAUGUGUGCAGGUGGAACGAGGAGCUUAUGAUUGGCACAGGGUGGGGCGUGGCGUGCUGGGCCUAGUGGGGCCCCGCUGUCAGACAGACCCGGCACAGGAUGCCCGUUUGUACCUGUUCUUACCUCUGCAGCCUGAGCUGGGCCAACCUGGGAGAGCCCUCCUCUGUCCGCUCUCGCACAAAGCCUUCCAGUAAUUCCCCACCCCCUCAGAAAACAGAGCUCCGUUCAACACAAAAGACAGAACAACCAGCUGGGCACACACCCGCUGGAGCCGGGCCAUCCAGGGAGUGUGCUGCGGAGGGCACGUCCCUCUUUGAACCUCCCGUGCUCCUGUCUCCUGGGCUGCCCCCGCCGGGCUCCCAAUGAAAGAGGAGGCUGCCUCCCAACAGGGAUGGGCUGGGUCAGGAAGGGGGCGUCUGGGAGCUACAGGCCUGCCCCGCACGUCGCCACCACCAUAGCCAGGUUCCAUCUCCACCCAGCAGGCCUCACUCUUGUCCUGGCCCUGGGGAGCUGAACCCAGCCGUCCCUGGCCCCAGCCCAGGCCUGGCGAAGGGGGCCCUGCUUCCUCCUCCCCUUUAUCAUUCCUGUGUGGGGGCCAGGCGGAGGCAGGAGUGAGCUAGGGGCCUGGGGAUGGGCUGUCCUUUCUGUGCAGCCGGGGCUGGAGGCACAGGUUCCCAGGGAGGCGCGCAGGCCUUCUUGGCACCCCAGCCGGUGGGGUGGGGCACUGACCAUAACAACCGAGGC
rnacentral:lncRNA from 1 species